UACGUAGGGUGCGAGCGUUAAUCGGAAUUACUGGGCGUAAAGCGUGCGUAGGCGGUUCGUUAAGUUCGUUGUGAAAGCCCCGGGCUCAACCUGGGAACUGCAUUGGAAACUAACGGGCUCGAGUGUGGCAGAGGGGGGUGGAAUUCCACGUGUAGCAGUGAAAUGCGUAGAGAUGUGGAGGAACACCGAUGGCGAAGGCGGCCCCCUGGGCUAACACUGACGCUCAGGCACGAAAGCGUGGGGAGCAAACAGG
rnacentral:rRNA from 1 species